rnacentral:rRNA from 1 species
GGAGUUAGCCGGUGCUUCUUCUGCGAGUAACGUCACAGAUGUAAGGUAUUAACUUACACCCUUUCCUCCUCGCUGAAAGUGCUUUACAACCCGAAGGCCUUCUUCACACACGCGGCAUGGCUGCAUCAGGGUUUCCCCCAUUGUGCAAUAUUCCCCACUGCUGCCUCCCGUAGGAGUCUGGGCCGUGUCUCAGUCCCAGUGUGGCUGAUCAUCCUCUCAGACCAGCUAGGGAUCGUCGCCUAGGUGAGCCUUUACCUCACCUACUAGCUAAUCCCACCUGGGCUUAUCCAUCAGCGCAAGGCCCGAAGGUCCCCUGCUUUCCCCCGUAGGGCGUAUGCGGUAUUAGCAGUCGUUUCCAACUGUUAUCCCCCACAAAUGGGCAAAUUCCCAGGCAUUACUCACCCGUCCGCCGCUCGUCAUCUUCAAAGCAAGCUUUUGAAUGUUACCGCUCGACUUGCAUGUGUUAGGCCUGCCGCCAGCGUUCAAUCUGACCAAGAUCAAAUUCUGA